rnacentral:sRNA from 1 species
CAUGACCAACGGCAGUCAAAAGCGCAACGUCCUGUUGCAUUGACUGCAUGACCGACGUCGUGUCGG